rnacentral:rRNA from 1 species
ACGCUCGACACCUACGGAGGCAGCAGUGGGGAAUAUUGCACAAUGGGGGAAACCCUGAUGCAGCGACGCCGCGUGGAGGAAGAAGGUCUUCGGAUUGUAAACUCCUGUUGUUGGGGAAAAAGAGGAUGGUACCCAACAAGGAAGUGACGGCUAACUACGUGCCAGCAGCAGCGUAUCUGAGGCGGGCGUCGGACGAAGGC